rnacentral:rRNA from 1 species
UAGUCCACGCCGUAAACGAUGUCAACUAGCCGUCGGGCUCAUUUAAGGGUUUGGUGGCGCAGCUAACGCGCUAAGUUGACCGCCUGGGGAGUACGCCGGCAACGGUAAAACUCAAAGGAAUUGACGGGGGCCCGCACAAGCGGUGGAGCAUGUGGUUUAAUUCGAUGCAACGCGAAGAACCUUACCUACCCUUGACAUCCUCAGAACUUGUUAGAGAUAACUUGGUGCCUUCGGGAACUGAGUGACAGGUGCUGCAUGGCCGUCGUCAGCUCGUGUCGUGAGAUGUUCGGUUAAGUCCGGCAACGAGCGCAACCCACGUCUUUAGUUACCAGCAUUUAGUUGGGUACUCUAGAGAGACCGCCGGUGAUAAGCCGGAGGAAGGUGUGGAUGACGUCAAGUCCUCAUGGCCCUUACGGGUUGGGCUACACACGUGCUACAAUGGUAGUGACAAUGGGUUAAUCCCCAAAAGCUAUCUCAGUUCGGAUUGGGGUCUGCAACUCGACCCCAUGAAGUUGGAAUCGCUAGU